GAAACGGUAGCUAAUACCGCAUAACGUCGCAAGACCAAAGAGGGGGACCUUCAGGCCUCUUGCCAUCGGAUGUGCCCAGAUGGGAUUAGCUUGUUGGUGGGGUAACGGCUCACCAAGGCGACGAUCCCUAGCUGGUCUGAGAGGAUGACCAGCCACACUGGAACUGAGACACGGUCCAGACUCCUACGGGAGGCAGCAGUGGGGAAUAUUGCACAAUGGGCGCAAGCCUGAUGCAGCCAUGCCGCGUGUAUGAAGAAGGCCUUCGGGUUGUAAAGUACUUUCAGCGGGGAGGAAGGGAGUAAAGUUAAUACCUUUGCUCAUUGACGUUACCCGCAGAAGAAGCACCGGCUAACUCCGUGCCAGCAGCCGCGGUAGUACGGAGGGUGCAAGCGUUAAUCGGAAUUACUGGGCGUAAAGCGCACGCAGGCGGUUUGUUAAGUCAGAUGUGAAAUCCCCGGGCUCAACCUGGGAACUGCAUCUGAUACUGGCAAGCUUGAGUCUCGUAGAGGGGGGUAGAAUUCCAGGUGUAGCGGUGAAAUGCGUAGAGAUCUGGAGGAAUACCGGUGGCGAAGGCGGCCCCCUGGACGAAGACUGACGCUCAGGUGCGAAAGCGUGGGGAGCAAACAGGAUUAGAUACCCUGGUAGUCC
rnacentral:rRNA from 1 species